AAUCACUUUGUUUAAAAACCCUUCUCCCAUGCCAAAAGGAGAAGUGAUGACAUUGUUGGCAGCAUUUUGUGCAAUGAUAUUUUCAUUCAAAUAAAUUCAUGUUAAAACAUUUGUUUUUCCAUUUGUUUUCCCUUUUCGCUUUUUCCAUGAAAUUGGUGAUCACAAAAAACCCUAAAAAACAAGAAUAAAAGCAAUCUUUUCAUCUGCAUAACGAUUGUCUUGUUUGAUUUUCAAAGUGCUUUUCAUAUCAAAAUCUUUAUGCAGGUUGUUUCUCAAACCCAUUGAACAUAGUGAUCGGACGUCAUCUCCCAAUUUUGAAUUCCCUGUAUUCGAAGCGGACGAAGAUGAUGUUGAAGGGAUUCCUGACGAGAUUUCCCAACUUCUUGAGCAAGAAAAAAGAUCACUCAGCUGCAUCUCGAGAAUCAGCAGAACAGCCAACUGGGGCAUCAAAAAAAAAAAGAAGAAAAAAAUCAAUCAAAAAAAAAAACAAAGAAAGAGAGGGUGCAAAAUCAAAAGAAAUCAAAAGAAA
rnacentral:lncRNA from 1 species